CAUGAAGAACCUAGGAGUAAGGCAGGAAUAAAGACGCAGACCUCCUAGAGAACAGACUUAAGGUUAUGGGGAGGGGGAAGGGUGAGCUGUGACAGGGCGAGAGAGAGUCAUGGACAUACACACACUAACAAACGUAGUAAGGUAGUGGGAAGCAGCCGCAUGACACAGGGAUAUUGGCUCGGUGCUUUGUGACAGCCUGGAGGGGUGGGAUAGGGAGGGUGGGAGGGAGGGAGACGCAAGAGGGAAGACAUAUGGGAACAUAUGUAUAUGUAUAACUGAUUCACUUUGUUAUAAAGCAGAAACUAACACACCAUUGUAAAGCAAUUAUAGCCCAAUAAAGAUGUUAAAAAAAGAAAUCAUAAAGAUCAGAUCAGAAAUAAAUGAAAUAGGAACAAAGAAAACAAUAGCAAAGAUCAAUAAAAGUAAAAGUUGGUUCUUUGAGAAGGUAAAAUUGAUAAACCAUUAGCCAGACUCAUCAAGAGGGAGAAGACUCAAAUCAAUAAAAUUAGUAAGGAAAGAGAAGUUACAACAGACAAUGCAGAAAUACAAAGCAUCCUAAGAGACUACUACAAGCAACUCUGUGCCAAUAAAAUGGACAACCUGGAAGAAAUGGACAAAUUCUUAGAAAGGUAUAACCUUCCAAGACUGAACCAGGAAGAAAUAGGAAAUAUGAACAGACCAAUCACAAGUAAUGAAAUUGAAACUGUGAUUAAAAAUCUUCAAACAAGCAAAAGUCCAGGACCAGAUGGCUUCACAGGUGAAUUCUAUCAAACAUUUAGAGAAGAGCUAACACCAGUCUUUCUCACACUCUUCCAAAAAAUUGCAGAGGAAGGAACACUCCCAAACUCAUUCUUUGAGGCCACCAUCACCCUGAUACCAAAACCAGACAAAGAUACUACAAAAAAAAGAAAAUUACCGACCAAUAUCACUGAUGAAUAUAGAUGCAAAAAUCCUCAACAAAAUACUAGCAAACAGAAUCAAACAAUACAUUAAAAGGAUCAUACACCAUGAUUAAGUGGAAUUUAUCCCAGGGAUGCAAGGAUUUUUCAAUAUACACAAAUCAAUUAGUGUGAUACACCAUAUUAACAAAUUGAAGAAUAAAAACCAUAUGAUCAUCUCAAUAGAUGUAGAAAAACCUUUGACAAAAUUAAACAUGCUUUUAUGAUAAAAACUCUCCAGAAAGUGGUUCUAAAGGGAACCUACCUCAAUAUAAUAAAGCCCGUACAUGACAAACCUACAGCAAACACCAUUCUCAAUGGUGAAAAACUGAAAGCGUUUCCUCUAAGAUCAGGAACAAAACAAGGAUGUCCACUCUCGCCACUAUUAUUCAACAUAGCUUUGGAAGUCCUAGACACAGCAAUUAGUGAAGAAAAAGAAAGAAUAAAAGGAAUACAGAUUGGAAAGCAAGAAGUAAAACUGUCACUGUUUGCAGAUGGCAUGAUACUAUACAUAGAGAAUCCUAAAGUUGCCACCAGCCAACUACUAGAGCUAAUCAAUGAAUUUGGUAAAGUCACAGGAUACAAAAGUAAUGCACAGAAAUCUCUUGCAUUCCUAUACACUAACAACAAAAGAUCAGAAAGAGAAAUUAAGGAAACAAUCCCAUUCACCAUUGCAACAAAGAGAAUAAAACACCUAGGAAUAAACCUACCUAAGAAAGUAAAAGACCUAUACUCAGAAAAGUAUAAGAUAGUGAUGAAAGAAAUUAAAGAUGAUACUGUUGGAGAGAUAUACCAUGUUCUUGGAUUGGAAGAAUCAAUAUUGUGAAAAUGACUAUACUCCCCAAAGCAAUCUACAGAUUCAAUACAAUCCCUAUCAAAUUACCAAUAGCAUUUUUUUUUUUUUUUUU